UGAGGAAUAUUGGUCAAUGGGCGAGAGCCUGAACCAGCCAAGUCGCGUGAAGGAUGAAGGUUCUAUGGAUUGUAAACUUCUUUUAUUCGAGGGUAAAGUGAGGUACGUGUACCUUAUUGCAAGUAUCGAAUGAAUAAGCAUCGGCUAACUCCGUGCCAGCAGCCGCGGUAAUACGGAGGAUGCGAGCGUUAUCCGGAUUUAUUGGGUUUAAAGGGUGCGUAGGCGGAUUAUUAAGUCAGCGGUGAAAGCGUGUGGCUCAACCAUACAAUUGCCGUUGAUACUGGUAGUCUUGAGUGUAAACGAGGUAGGCGGAAUGCGAUGUGUAGCGGUGAAAUGCUUAGAUAUGACGAAGAACUCCGAUUGCGAAGGCAGCUGACUGUAGCGUAACUGACGCUGAUGCUCGAAAGCGUGGGUAUCGAACAGGAUUAGAUACCCUGGUAGU
rnacentral:rRNA from 1 species